UACAGAGGUCCCGAGCGUUUGUUCGGAUUCAUUGGGCGUAAAGGGUGCGUAGGCGGUCUGCUAAGUUUGAUGUGAAAUCCCGGGGCUCAACCCUGGAAUGGCAUUGAAUACUGGUGGACUAGAGUACUGGAGAGGAAACUGGAAUUUACGGUGUAGCAGUGAAAUGCGUAGAGAUCGUAAGGAAGACCGUGGCGAAGGCGAGUUUCUGGACAGUAACUGACGGCUGAGGCACGGAAAGGCCCAGGGGGAGCAAAACGGGG
rnacentral:rRNA from 1 species